GAGUUUGAUCCUGGCUCAGAUUGAACGCUGGCGGCAUGCCUUACACAUGCAAGUCGAACGGCAGCAUGAUCUAGCUUGCUAGAUUGAUGGCGAGUGGCGAACGGGUGAGUAAUACAUCGGAACGUGCCCUGUAGUGGGGGAUAACUAGUCGAAAGAUUAGCUAAUACCGCAUACGACCUGAGGGUGAAAGUGGGGGACCGCAAGGCCUCAUGCUAUAGGAGCGGCCGAUGUCUGAUUAGCUAGCUGGUGGGGUAAAGGCCCACCAAGGCGACGAUCAGUAGCUGGUCUGAGAGGACGAUCAGCCACACUGGGACUGAGACACGGCCCAGACUCCUACGGGAGGCAGCAGUGGGGAAUUUUGGACAAUGGGCGAAAGCCUGAUCCAGCAAUGCCGCGUGUGUGAAGAAGGCCUCGGUUGUAAGU
rnacentral:rRNA from 1 species